AAAUGGCCUGUGGGCACCAAAAAAGCUCCCACCUUAUCGCACAGUCACGUGGAGCAACAUCAUAACGUUCGAUCCAAAGGAGAAACAGAGCAUUGGUGGAGCUUGGAGGCUCGUUUUCUUGUACAAGUGACCAUAGAAAUAACGCUUUGUGUAUAUCAGCUUGUUUCCUUGCUCGUAAUCCUCCCAAAAAGCCUGUUUGACUAGAGUGUGCCUUUGUAAACGUGCUACCUGUCUCACGUCUGCGAGCGGAGGCUGAUCCUCCAUCACAUAUACGGCAGAGAAACGAGUGAGCCAAAUCAGCCUUAUAAAGUGAAUGAUAUGAAAACUGGCAUUUAUAGGUCCUGCCUUGCUCACGAAGCUGUCUGAAUUGUCUCCAAUCCUGGUAACCUUGGAUAAACUCUAAAGAUGACGGAAGAAUGGAUGACUGCUUAUAUUACUUUGUGUAUAGAAAUGAGGCCCUGAAACCCCAAAUGUUUAAAUUGUAUGAACUGGAGGAAAUCUGGGGCAGGGUUUUAGGAAGAAACCCUGUGGAUGGAGUUUUAUCAGCAGCAGACUUAUUCACUAUGAACCUUUAG